rnacentral:rRNA from 1 species
AACGAACGCUGGCGGCAUGCCUAACACAUGCAAGUCGAACGAGACCUUCGGGUCUAGUGGCGCACGGGUGCGUAACGCGUGGGAACCUGCCCUUAGGUUCGGAAUAACUCCCCGAAAGGGGUGCUAAUACCGGAUAAUGUCUUCGGACCAAAGAUUUAUCGCCUUUGGAUGGGCCCGCGUUGGAUUAGCUAGUUGGUAGGGUAAAAGCCUACCAAGGCGACGAUCCAUAGCUGGUCUGAGAGGAUGAUCAGCCACACUGGGACUGAGACACGGCCCAGACUCCUACGGAAGGCAGCAGUGGGGAAUAUUGGACAAUGGGCGAAGGCCUGAUCCAGCAAUGCCGGGUGAGUGAUGAAGGCCUUAGGGUUGUAAAGCUCUUUUAACCGGGAUGAUAAUGACGGUACCGGGAGAAUAAGCUCCGGCUAACUACGUG